rnacentral:rRNA from 1 species
GUGGGGAAUAUUGCGCAAUGGGGGAAACCCUGACGCAGCGACGCCGUGUGAGGGAAGAAGGCUUUCGGGUCGUAAACCUCUGUCAGAAAGGAAGAACCUCCCAAGUCCGAAUAGGGCUUGGGACUGACGGUACUUUCAAAGGAAGCACCGGCUAACUCCGUGCCAGCAGCCGCGGUAAUACGGAGGGUGCAAGCGUUAAUCGGAAUCACUGGGCGUAAAGCGCGCGUAGGCCGCUUUGUAAGUCGGACGUGAAAGCCCUCGGCUCAACGAGGGAACUGCGUUCGAUACUGCGAGGCUUGAGUCCUGGAGAGGGUGGCGGAAUUCCGGGUGUAGGAGUGAAAUCCGUAGAUAUCCGGAGGAACACCGGUGGCGAAGGCGGCCACCUGGACAGGUACUGACGCUGAGGCGCGAAAGCGUGGGGAGCAAACAGGAUUAGAAACCCGAGUAGUCC